CAGGCUUAACACAUGCAAGUCGAGGGGCAGCACAGGUAGCAAUACCGGGUGGCGACCGGCGCACGGGUGAGUAACGCGUAUGCAACUUACCUAUCAGAGGGGGAUAACCCGGCGAAAGUCGGACUAAUACCGCAUGAAGCAGGGGCCCGCAUGGGGAUAUUUGCUAAAGAUUCAUCGCUGAUAGAUAGGCAUGCGUUCCAUUAGGCAGUUGGCGGGGUAACGGCCCACCAAACCGACGAUGGAUAGGGGUUCUGAGAGGAAGGUCCCCCACAUUGGUACUGAGACACGGACCAAACUCCUACGGGAGGCAGCAGUGAGGAAUAUUGGUCAAUGGCCGAGAGGCUGAACCAGCCAAGUCGCGUGAGGGAUGAAGGUUCUAUGGAUCGUAAACCUCUUUUAUAAGGGAAUAAAGUGCGGGACGUGUCCCGUUUUGUAUGUACCUUAUGAAUAAGGAUCGGCUAACUCCGUGCCAGCAGCCGCGGUAAUACGGAGGAUCCGAGCGUUAUCCGGAUUUAUUGGGUUUAAAGGGUGCGUAGGCGGCCUUUUAAGUCAGCGGUGAAAGUCUGUGGCUCAACCAUAGAAUUGCCGUUGAAACUGGGGGGCUUGAGUAUGUUUGAGGCAGGCGGAAUGCGUGGUGUAGCGGUGAAAUGCAUAGAUAUCACGCAGAACCCCGAUUGCGAAGGCAGCCUGCCAAGCCAUUACUGACGCUGAUGCACGAAAGCGUGGGGAUCAAACAGGAUUAGAUACCCUGGUAGUCCACGCAGUAAACGAUGAUCACUAGCUGUUUGCGAUACACUGUAAGCGGCACAGCGAAAGCGUUAAGUGAUCCACCUGGGGAGUACGCCGGCAACGGUGAAACUCAAAGGAAUUGACGGGGGCCCGCACAAGCGGAGGAACAUGUGGUUUAAUUCGAUGAUACGCGAGGAACCUUACCCGGGUUUGAACGCAUUCGGACCGAGGUGGAAACACCUUUUCUAGCAAUAGCCGUUUGCGAGGUGCUGCAUGGUUGUCGUCAGCUCGUGCCGUGAGGUGUCAGCUUAAGUGCCAUAACGAGCGCAACCCUUGCCACUAGUUACUAACAGGUAAAGCUGAGGACUCUGGUGGGACUGCCAGCGUAAGCUGCGAGGAAGGCGGGGAUGACGUCAAAUCAGCACGGCCCUUACAUCCGGGGCGACACACGUGUUACAAUGGCGUGGACAAAGGGAAGCCACCUGGCGACAGGGAGCGAAUCCCCAAACCACGUCUCAGUUCGGAUCGGAGUCUGCAACCCGACUCCGUGAAGCUGGAUUCGCUAGUAAUCGCGCAUCAGCCAUGGCGCGGUGAAUACGUUCCCGGGCCUUGUACACACCGCCCGUCAAGCCAUGGGAGCCGGGGGUGCCUGAAGUCCGUAACCGAAAGGAUCGGCCUAGGGUAAAACUGGUGACUGGGGCU
rnacentral:rRNA from 1 species